GGGCCCGCACAAGCGGAGGAACAUGUGGUUUAAUUCGAUGAUACGCGAGGAACCUUACCCGGGCUCAAACGGGAGACGACAGGGGCGGAGACGCCCUCUUCCACGGACGUCUUCCGAGGUGCUGCAUGGUUGUCGUCAGCUCGUGCCGUGAGGUGUCGGCUUAAGUGCCAUAACGAGCGCAACCCCUGCCGACAGUUGCUAACGGGUGAAGCCGAGGACUCUGUCGGGACUGCCGGCGCAAGCCGCGAGGAAGGCGGGGAUGACGUCAAAUCAGCACGGCCCUUACGUCCGGGGCGACACACGUGUUACAAUGGCCGGUACAGCGGGAAGCCAGGCGGCGACGCCGAGCGGAACCCGAAAACCGGUCUCAGUUCGGAUCGGAGUCUGCAACCCGACUCCGUGAAGCUGGAUUCGCUAGUAAUCGCGCAUCAGCCAUGGCGCGGUGAAUACGUUCCCGGGCCUUGUACACACCGCCCGUCAAGCCAUGGGAGCCGGGGGUGCUUGAAGUGCGUCGCCGCGAGGCGCGCCCUAGAGCAAAACCGGUGACUGGGGCUAAGUCGUAACAAGGUAGCCGU
rnacentral:rRNA from 1 species